AGAGAUCUGGAGGAAUACCGGUGGCGAAGGCGGCCCCCUGGACAAAGACUGACGCUCAGGUGCGAAAGCGUGGGGAGCAAACAGGAUUAGAUACCCUGGUAGUCCACGCCGUAAACGAUGUCUACUUGGAGGUUGUGCCCUUGAGGCGUGGCUUCCGGAGCUAACGCGUUAAGUAGACCGCCUGGGGAGUACGGCCGCAAGGUUAAAACUCAAAUGAAUUGACGGGGGCCCGCACAAGCGGUGGAGCAUGUGGUUUAAUUCGAUGCAACGCGAAGAACCUUACCUGGUCUUGACAUCCACAGAAGAAUCCAGAGAUGGAUUUGUGCCUUCGGGAACUGUGAGACAGGUGCUGCAUGGCUGUCGUCAGCUCGUGUUGUGAAAUGUUGGGUUAAGUCCCGCAACGAGCGCAAC
rnacentral:rRNA from 3 species